GAUGAACGCUGGCGGCGUGCCUAAUACAUGCAAGUCGAGCGAACGGACGAGAAGCUUGCUUCUCUGAUGUUAGCGGCGGACGGGUGAGUAACACGUGGAUAACCUACCUAUAAGACUGGGAUAACUUCGGGAAACCGGAGCUAAUACCGGAUAAUAUUUUGAACCGCAUGGUUCAAAAGUGAAAGACGGUCUUGCUGUCUCUUAUAGAUGGAUCCGCGCUGCAUUAGCUAGUUGGUAAGGUAACGGCUUACCAAGGCAACGAUGCAUAGCCGACCUGAGAGGGUGAUCGGCCACACUGGAACUGAGACACGGUCCAGACUCCUACGGGAGGCAGCAGUAGGGAAUCUUCGGCAAUGGGCGAAAGCCUGACGGAGCAACGCCGCGUGAGUGAUGAAGGUCUUCGGAUCGUAAAACUCUGUUAUUAGGGAAGAACAUAUGUGUAAGUAACUGUGCACAUCUUGACGGUACCUAAUCAGAAAGCCACGGCUAACUACGUG
rnacentral:rRNA from 1 species